rnacentral:rRNA from 1 species
GAUGAACGCUGGCGGCGUGCCUAAUACAUGCAAGUCGAGCGAACAGAUAAGGAGCUUGCUCCUUUGACGUUAGCGGCGGACGGGUGAGUAACACGUGGGUAACCUACCUAUAAGACUGGAAUAACUCCGGGAAACCGGGGCUAAUGCCGGAUAACAUGUUGAACCGCAUGGUUCUACAGUGAAAGACGGUCUUGCUGUCACUUAUAGAUGGACCCGCGCCGUAUUAGCUAGUUGGUGGGGUAACGGCCUACCAAGGCGACGAUACGUAGCCGACCUGAGAGGGUGAUCGGCCACACUGGAACUGAGACACGGUCCAGACUCCUACGGGAGGCAGCAGUAGGGAAUCUUCCGCAAUGGGCGAAAGCCUGACGGAGCAACGCCGCGUGAGUGAUGAAGGUCUUCGGAUCGUAAAGCUCUGUUGUUAGGGAAGAACAAAUGUGUAAGUAACUGUGCACAUCUUGACGGUACCUAACCAGAAAGCCACGGCUAACUACGUGCCAGCAGCCGCGGUAAUACGUAGGUGGCAAGCGUUAUCCGGAAUUAUUGGGCGUAAAGCGCGCGUAGGCGGUUUUUUAAGUCUGAUGUGAAAGCCCACGGCUCAACCGUGGAGGGUCAUUGGAAACUGGAAAACUUGAGUGCAGAAGAGGAAAGUGGAAUUCCAUGUGUAGCGGUGAAAUGCGCAGAGAUAUGGAGGAACACCAGUGGCGAAGGCGGCUUUCUGGUCUGCAACUGACGCUGAUGUGCGAAAGCGUGGGGAUCAAACAGGAUUAGAUACCCUGGUAGUCCACGCCGUAAACGAUGAGUGCUAAGUGUUAGGGGGUUUCCGCCCCUUAGUGCUGCAGCUAACGCAUUAAGCACUCCGCCUGGGGAGUACGGUCGCAAGACUGAAACUCAAAGGAAUUGACGGGGACCCGCACAAGCGGUGGAGCAUGUGGUUUAAUU